GGGAAGAGGUUCUUCACAGAGAGGGUGGUCGGGCACUGGUCAAGGCAUUGAGUGUGCUGGAGUUCAAGAAGCAUUUGGACAACACUCAGACACGUGGUCUGAUUUUUGUGUGGUCCUGUGUGGAGCCAGGAGUUAGACUCCAUGAUCCUUGUGGGUCUCUUCCAACUCAGGACAGUCCAUGAAUAUAGUCACUCAACACCUCUGUUCUUCUGAAUUCUAUAGCAUCACCCCAACGAUUUCUCUAAGUUAAAAAACGGAAAAAACACAACAGUUUCCAAACAGGAAUUCUUCAAUUUACACAUCACUUUCCUACUAUGGGCUUAGGGAGGCCAACUAAGACCAUCCAGACUAUUCUCUACAUGGCUCAUUAAUGCAAGUAUGCUGGUGAAACUUUUUCAUGUGUUGUCCCAAAGUACGGGUUCCUAACCUCAGUUUAUUUUCACGAAGAUUUCCUCAUCUGCAGGUACCUUUGUCAUGUUACUACUCUCUCUAGUAAUUUCCUUCGGGAAUUGGUGAUGAGAGCAAGCAAGUAUUUCAGCUAAACACUCUACAAAUACAUACAGAGACAGCAAUAGAGAAGCCUGAAAAAAACACAUUUUCUUUGGAUCAUUGUAUCCAUUUCUGCUUUCCAACCACCAGAACAGCCUCCCACUGCAAUUCUGUGUCUGUAUCACUUGUCCCAUGCUUGUCAGCUUCAAACCCACCAAAUUCAAAUACAUUCUGCAUUAAAGAAAACUGCUGAAUGUUAUCUGCUGUUCUGCACAUCACUCAUCUUGCUUUUCAAGUUCUCCCAGGCAAGCUCUCCAGAUGUUCCUGGAUUUAAUUAAAUUCAUAAUUGCUUUCUGAAAGCCUCCUCGCUACAUCAUUCCCACUCGCUCGCUUUCCAGAAUUGUUAUGAUACAUUAUUUAAUUACAGGACAAAAAGCCCCACUUCAUUCAAACCCUUGCCCUGCAUCAUAGACAGCGAUGCAGUUUCACAGCAAGUUUCCACGCAGCCUCGCUCAAAUCUUCUGCACUUGUAGACAUACUCUAGGCUGUGCACGGAGCAAGACUUCUAUAUUACUCUUCCCCUAUUCAUUAGAGGAAACUGGAAGAUGUCACAAAUACAGGGAAAGGUCAGUUUUGCUAUUUAGCAAAUAUCUGUUCACUGCUUCUUACAACAGAAGGGGCAGCCACUGAAGUUAAACAGCAAAAUGAAAUUACCUUGCCAUAGGCUUUGAUGACCAAGUACUUGAAUGGGUUGAAAAAGGAAUUGGACAAUUUGUGGAAAACGAAUCCACUGCCAAUUUAAUCUUUGCAGUACAGUGUCACUUUUUCUGCAAAAGCAUAAGGCUCCUACAAAUAGAAACCGGCGCAGCCAACACACAGUGCUAGCAUGGCAAAAUCAAGGUGUUCAGGGCUAGGAGCUUUGCAGUCAUGGAGCGGUAUUGCUGUGCUUGAGCAGCAGAGUCAACACAUCCAGGAGAUGCCAGGCUCGCCCACAUCACAUCACUCUGCAUCUUCCUCAGUGGCCUCAAGCAAAAUUUCUGGGAUCUGGGCAAGCCAGCUGGGAACACUAGAAGUAUUAGUUGAGGACUGCUGAACCCUUCCUUAUGGCUAAACAGAUUAAAGCUGCAAUUUGAACAUAUUGGGGGGGGGGGGGGGGGGGGGGGGAAGGGUGAAUAGAGAAUCAAGCUCUAGGCAAACAAAAGUCCUCAACAUCUUAUUAAAGACUCUCUACCUUUAACCUGUAGAAUGGAGGUACUGGACUCAAUUACACAUUUCCUUUGCAACAUUAAGCAUGGUCUGAGGUCACAGGUUGGUUGUGAAUGCUGCAUGUGUAUUUCUUGGUACUGAAGACGCUAGGGUACACAGCCAGAUUGCAAUUAGAUUGCACACUACAAUACAAGCACAAAGGAACUGAAUUAAGGCAACUUAACUUUGGCAUUACCCCAGCUUUAACAUCUGACUGCCAGGCAGCAUGUUUCCGUCUCUUUUGGCGCUGUAUUUAUUUUCACAAAUCUCAGAUUAUUUGAGGCACCAACCUUUGACAUGCUGGAAAUGGAUUAUUUUAUAAAUCGUCAAUAAGGAAGAUGCACACUCAAUUCAAGAGCUUACGGGUCGAAGAGUGCUCAUAGCAAAUUCAAAGUAAUUUAAAGGCUUUAUUUUGAACAACUAAUGCUGUAACCAACACCUUCGCCUUCACUGGCAUGUUGCCUUGUAUUCACUAACCUCAACCGGUCUGAGUUAACAACAUGUUUAUCAUACCUUCUCCCCUGAGAACAAAGCCUCAUUCCUACCACAGACCUCCUGCCUGAGGCCAUUUCUAACCCAGGAAUGUAGUUCUCGUCACUGCUCAGCCCAUAUCUACAUAGUAGAAAUGCCUUUUUGGCAAUAAGAUAAGGCACCCGCACAGCGGGCCCCUUGCAUGGAGUCUGGUGUAGAUAACACAAGCAGUUUCACUACUAUGAAGCCAGAAAGGGCAGGGCAGUAUCCUGUAGGCAAGUUUAACCUCGAAUAUUCUGAGGUUUAAAAAAAAAAAAGAAAAAAAGGAAGAAGAAGAAGAAAGACAGAAGCUUGUGUCUGUCAGGAUUUCACAGCAUGAAAGUCAACUCAGCCCUGUUAUAAAAAGACGCACGAUGCUGACAACCCCUGCCCCAGCAACAGCCACAAAAAUACACCCCCGUCUUCAGGGAAGCGAGGAGCCAGCCCUCCUGCAGCGAGCACACACCACAUCGCUUUUGAGAACCCAAGCGCAUCCCAUCAAUCCAGCUCGCCUCUGCUAUCCUGCUCUAACCCUGGAAGGGUCUCCGGGGGCAGGCAGACACGGCACUUCCAGUUUCGUGCGCUGCCUUUGCCUUCAGGAGCGCCAGGCAGCCUCCAGCCGCUCGCCACCCGGGUGUGCCCCGCGGUGCGGCCCUGGCUCCGGGCUGGACGGCCGCCCGCUGCCCGGGACACCAGCCCGGCCUUCCGCCCCUGGCGCAGUGCUGGCGGCAGCCCUUCUGCUCCACCUUUUAACACAGCUCGAUUUCACCUCCCCAGCUCCCGCGUCUCUUUAUUCAGUCAUUUUGGUUCUCCACCGUCCUUGGAAGUUUGUCCGUAGGCACCACUGCCCUGCCCAGCGCUUAGGGGGCAAACAGGAGAGGUGCCAGCCCCGGGGGUGUCCCCGCCACAGCACUCAACCCCGUCCCCGCGGCCGCCCCGGGCGCUCCCUGGCUUCGGGUGGCGGCGAGCCCAGGGCUAACGGCCCCGGCCGGGGCGAGCAGAGCUCCUCAGCUCCCCGCGGCACCCCGGGCUCGCCGCCCCCGGCAGGGCCCCGCCGCCCCCGGCCGCCCUCACCUGUUCUGGGGCCGGAUGCUGAGCAGGUGCUGGUAUUUAUUCAGUCUCCCUGAAGAGGACAGCGUGAAACAGGGCUGUAAGAGCGGUUGUAUUGAGCGCCGCAGGCACGUCGCUGGUGACACUACUUCUCUGCGGAGCGGGAUUGACGGAUAGAACAGCUUGGCUGUGCAUCGGCGGUCUGCCCACGGCUGUGUGCCUGGAGUCUGCAAGAAGAAAACAACAGCAGGCAUUGCUGCAAAAGAGACGAGGUCGUGGCAGAGAGGUCCAGACUGGGAAAGACAACAGGCUUUGAGCUGAUCCCUGCCUGGGCAGGAGAGAGAAUGAAUGUGACAGCAAGCAGCGAGGCAGCUUUUUCCUACAAACUGCAUCCCCAUUCUUUUGAAGAGAAAAGCAGCAGGAAGAGUCACAUCCCUGGAGAAGCAUGGCUCAGCUUUGCUCCUUCCCCAGACGCCACUCCAGACCUCACAUCGCCUUCAUCACGCUUCAUGUACCUUCUCUAACACCACCGCAUCGUUCUGCAAGGGAGAGCAACUAACCACGACUUGGUUGUGCUAUAGGGCCAUGUAGCAAAAUUAAAUGUAACGAAAUAUAAUGAUGGUGAAUCCUUUUUAUUUCAUUGUUCUGGACACAUUUGCAGCCUCACCUGAGAUACUGGUGGCAGAGGAGAUUCUGCCUUUUGUCCUAACUGUGUAAAUAAAAGUCACAGCACAGCGAUAACAAUCCAUACAUUCUGCUUCUCCAAGUACAGCCUGCAUCCGAGUGUAAUUCAUUUCAUUAAGCUGUAGCUCUAGAAGGGUUCGAAGGAUCUCUCAUCCUGCUAU